rnacentral:rRNA from 1 species
UGGGGAAUAUUGGGCAAUGGGGGAAACCCUGACCCAGCAACGCCGCGUGAAGGAAGAAGGCCUUCGGGUUGUAAACUUCUUUUACCAGGGACGAAUAGAUGACGGUACCUGAGGAAUAAGCCACGGCUAACUACGUGCCAGCAGCCGCGGUAAUACGUAGGUGGCAAGCGUUAUCCGGAUUUACUGGGUGUAAAGGGCGUGUAGGCGGGACUGCAAGUCAGAUGUGAAAACCAUGGGCUCAACCUGUGGCCUGCAUUUGAAACUGUAGUUCUUGAGUACUGGAGAGGCAGACGGAAUUCCUAGUGUAGCGGUGAAAUGCGUAGAUAUUAGGAGGAACACCAGUGGCGAAGGCGGUCUGCUGGACAGCAACUGACGCUGAGGCGCGAAAGCGUGGGGAGCAAACAGG